rnacentral:rRNA from 1 species
CACGUAGGGCGCAAGCGUUGUCCGGAAUUAUUGGGCGUAAAGAGCUCGUAGGUGGUUUGCUGCGUCCGCUGUGAAAACCUAAGGCUUAACCUUGGGCUUGCAGUGGAUACGGGCAGACUAGAGGUAGGUAGGGGAGAAUGGAAUUCCCGGUGUAGCGGUGAAAUGCGCAGAUAUCGGGAGGAACACCGGUGGCGAAGGCGGUUCUCUGGGCCUUACCUGACACUGCGGAGCGAAAGCGUGGGGAGCGAACAGG